GACGAACGCUGGCGGCGUGCUUAACACAUGCAAGUCGAACGAUGAAGAAGAGAAACGCGAACUUCGGUUCAAAUUUCACUUCGGAUUAGUGGCAGACGGGUGAGUAACGCGUGAGCAACCUACCUCUUACAAAGGGAUAGCCUCGGGAAACCGUGAUUAAUACCAUAUGACACAUUCAUAAGGCAUCUUAAGAAUGUUAAAGCUACGGCGGUAAGAGAUGGGCUCGCGUCCCAUUAGCUAGUUGGUGAGGUAACGGCCCACCAAGGCGACGAUGGGUAACCGGCCUGAGAGGGUGAACGGUCACAUUGGAACUGAGACACGGUCCAAACUCCUACGGGAGGCAGCAGUGGGGAAUAUUGCACAAUGGAGGGAACUCUGAUGCAGCGACGCCGCGUGAGCGAUGAAGGAAUUCGUUUCGUAAAGCUCUGUUCUAUGGGAAGAAAAGGACUGUACCAUAGGAGAAAGCCCCGGCUAAAUACUUG
rnacentral:rRNA from 1 species